ACUGUCCAGUUUUCACCCCCAUACAUCGUUAUAAAGAAGAAUGUAGUACGGGAGAAAUCUAUUGCCCCAGUGGCCCAGAUCAACCCAACUCCAAUCAAAUCUUUUUAUAACAUCAACAUUACAAUUUUAUCCUACAAAUCUUCCUGGCUACAUGUAUAUUUUAAUUUUAUGCCGGCAAAGAAAUUCUACAAUCCUUAUCUGUUUGAGAAUGAGAUCAUCUGUGAGGAAGAGCACAGAAGUGUAGGACCCUUCCUGAUCUUCUCCACAAGAUGGGAGCCACAGCAGAGAAUGCACAUGAAUGGACCAUUGCCACCCGCAAGACUGAAUUGGUUAAACACCCGUAAUCCCACCAACUAAGAGCACACCAGCAUGCUCCCCAGUAGCAUACUGCUUGAAUGUCUGAUAUUAAAUGAAAAGCUGCCAGUGGUGAGGAUUUCCUAUUAAUUGUGAAAUCAUUGUAUACCUUAACACCGUCCAUUCAACUGAAUUAUA